GAUGAACGCUAGCGGCAGGCCUAAUACAUGCAAGUCGAACGAGAUUAGUAGCAAUACUAUGAAAGUGGCGCACGGGUGCGUAACACGUAUGCAAUCUACCUUUAAUUGGAGAAUAGCCUCGAGAAAUCGGGAUUAAUACUCCAUAACAUUAUGAAAUGGCAUCAUUUUAUAAUUAAACCUCCGGGGAUUAAAGAUGAGCAUGCGCAACAUUAGCUAGUUGGUAAGGUAAUGGCUUACCAAGGCUACGAUGUUUAGGGGGUCUGAGAGGAUGAUCCCCCACACCGGUACUGAGACACGGACCAGACUCCUACGGGAGGCAGCAGUAGGGAAUAUUGGGCAAUGGAGGAAACUCUGACCCAGCCAUGCCGCGUGCAGGAUGACGGCCCUCUGGGUUGUAAACUGCUUUUAUACGGGAAGAAAAAAUGCUACGUGUAGCACAUUGACGGUACCGUAAGAAUAAGGAUCGGCUAACUCCGUGCCAGCAGCCGCGGUAAUACGGAGGAUCCAAGCGUUGUCCGGAUUUAUUGGGUUUAAAGGGUGCGUAGGCGGAUCUUUAAGUCAGUGGUGAAAGCCUGCAGCUCAACUGUAGAACAGCCAUUGAAACUGAAGAUCUUGAAUGUGGUUAAAGUAGGCGGAAUGUAUCA
rnacentral:rRNA from 1 species